GAACGCUGGCGGCGUGGCUAAGGCAUGCAAGUCGAACGGACGUGUGGAACGGGUAACCUGAACAUACGUUAGUGGCGAACGGGUGAGGAAUGCAUGGACAACGUACCCUGGACUCAGGGAUAGCGGCGUCUCCCGAGCAAUCGGGAGGCUUUGCGAAAGUGCCGGUAAUACCUGAUGACCCCGCGUGAUCACAUGUUCAUGCGGGCAAAGCUCCGGCGGUCCGGGAUCGGCCCAUUUCCUAUCAGCUUGUUGGUGGGGUAACGGCCCACCAAGGCUACGACGGGUAUCGGGUGUGAGAGCAUGACCCGACACAUCGGGACUGAGACACGGCCCGGACACCUACGGGUGGCUGCAGCAACGAAUAUUCCGCAAUGGGCGCAAGCCUGACGGAGCGACGCCGCGUGCAGGAUGAAGUCCCUCGGGAUGUAAACUGCUGUCAGGGGUGAGAAAUUCAUGAUCAGCCCCACAGGAAGCCUCGGCUAAUUCCGUGCCAGCAGCCGCGGUAAUACGGAAGAGGCGAGCGUUGUUCGGAAUCACUGGGCUUAAAGAGCGUGUAGGCGGGGUGUAAGGUGCUUUGUGAAAGCCCUCGGCUCAACCGAGGAAUCGCUGGGCAAACCGACACUCUUGAGGCAGGCAGAGGUAACCGGAACCUUUGGUGGAGCGGUGAAAUGCGUAGAGAUCAAAGGGAACGCCGGUGGCGAAAGCGGGUUACUGGGCCUGAACUGACGCUGAGACGCGAAAGCGUGGGUAGCAAACAGGAU
rnacentral:rRNA from 1 species